AUGGAAAUUUCCCUUUUUUCCCCCAGAGCUUUUUCCAAGGGGAGCGUGGAAAAUGAAGGUCAGAGGCUGAGGGAGCCCCAGCUGCAAAGGGCACCUGAAAUUCAGAGUCGGGAUCUGGAGGCGGCCGUGCCCGGAGCCGGGGGAGGAUCGAUGGACAAGCCAAGCAACUUCUGACUCCGCGGCGUUUUCCGGGAAAAAAUUCCAUGGCCAUGUAUCCUACCAGGGUCUCCGGCGAGGAAUGCAACGGCAUCAACGCCAUGGCGGCCGAGAGCGGCCCCGGCACGCGCCUGCGCCAA